rnacentral:rRNA from 1 species
GACGAACGCUGGCGGCGUGCCUAAUACAUGCAAGUUGAGCGCUGAAGGUUGGUACUUGUACCGACUGGAUGAGCAGCGAACGGGUGAGUAACGCGUGGGGAAUCUGCCUUUGAGCGGGGGACAACAUUGGGAAACGAAUGCUAAUACCGCAUAAAAACUUUAAACACAAGUUUUAAGUUUGAAAGAUGCAAUUGCAUCACUCAAAGAUGAUCCCGCGUUGUAUUAGCUAGUUGGUGAGGUAAAGGCUCACCAAGGCGAUGAUACAUAGCCGACCUGAGAGGGUGAUCGGCCAAAUUGGGACUGAGAAACGGCCCAAACUCCUACGGGAGGCAGCAGUAGGGAAUCUUCGGCAAUGGACGAAAGUCUGACCGAGCAACGCCACGUGAGUGAAGAAGGUUUUCGGAUCGUAAAACUCUGUUGGUAGAGAAGAACGUUGGUGAGAGUGGAAAGCUCAUCAAGUGACGGUAACUACCCAGAAAGGGACGGCUAACUACGUG